CCGCAUCUAGACAGUACACCGCACAAAAUAAUUGUUUUGCUGUAAUAAAUAUCAAUUUAAAAAUUUGGAUAAAUUGUGGUGCAUUCUUAACACUUGAAAGAAAAAUGUCCCGUUGGAAAAAAAUUUUUAAGUUUAUUUUUCAAAAAGUUACACAUUCGUUAAUUAGUCAUAAUUCUUUGAACCUCGAUUUUCAUUGCAAACAGCAUAAAUGUUCAAAUAAUAGCUCUAAAAAUAUUUCGCUUCUUGGAGCCCCUUCUUAAAUGUAUACUUAACAAGACCACAGAAAUGGAAAUUUUCAUUUUUUGUCAACUUUCAAAAAUCAUAAUGAACGGAAUAAACAACUUUUUAAAACUUUUAUAACUUUAAUAUAUUUAGCCAUACUUUACCUAGGUUACUAUAGUUUUUAGUGAUUUCUGCACAAAUUGUGCAUCAAAAUGUUAGGGAAAAAUAAUGAUUUUAGUCAGGGAAAACCGGGAAAUGUCAGGGAAUUCCGUGAUCGGAAUUGAGUGGCCACCCUGAUUACUUGUGUUCA